GGGCAAACCCAUCGUGUCGACCACGGGAUCUGCGGGAGACACAGGGCAGUGAGAGCCAUGGGCCCAGCCCCCCUACCCAGCACCCAGGGGGGCAUGAGAGCCAGGGGCCCGGCCCCCCGAGCCAGCACCCGGGGGAGCAGUGAGAGCCAUGGGCCCAGCCCCCCCAACCAGCACCCACGGGCACAUGAGAGCCAUGGGCCCAGCCCCCCCAGCCAGCACCCAGGGGGGCAUGAGAGCCACGGGCCCGGCACCCCCAACCAGCACCCGGGGGGGCAGUGAGAGCCAUGGGCCCAGCCCCCCC